GAUGAAGAACGCAGCGAAAUGCGAUAAGUAAUGCGAAUUGCAGAAUUCAGUGAAUCAUCGAAUCUUUGAACGCACAUUGCGCCCGCUAGUAUUCUGGCGGGCAUGCCUGUCUGAGCGUCAUUUCAACCCUCGCCCCCGGCUUUUGCUGGGAGCGGUGUUGGGGAUCGGCCGCCCGUCACUGGGAGGCCGGCCCCGAAAUAGAGUGGCGACCACGCCGUGUGCUCCUCUGCGUAGUAGUAAAUCACCUCGCAGGCGGACAGCGGUGCGGCCUGCCGUAAAACCCCCAACUCUUUCUGGUUGACCUCAGAUCAGGUAGGAAUACCCGCUGAACUUAAGCAUAUCAAUAAGCGGAAGA
rnacentral:misc_RNA from 1 species